GGGCCCGCACAAGCGGUGGAGCAUGUGGUUUAAUUCGAUGCAACGCGAAGAACCUUACCAGGGUUUGACAUCCUGCGAAUCUCUUGGAAACGAGAGAGUGCCUUCGGGAGCGCAGUGACAGGUGCUGCAUGGCUGUCGUCAGCUCGUGUCGUGAGAUGUUGGGUUAAGUCCCGUAACGAGCGCAACCCCUAUCCUUAUUUGCCAGCACAUUAUGGUGGGAACUAUAAGGAGACUGCCGGUGAUAAACCGGAGGAAGGCGGGGACGACGUCAAGUCAUCAUGGCCCUUACGACCAGGGCUACACACGUGCUACAAUGGGAUGGACAAAGAGUCGCGAAGCCGCGAGGUGUAGCUAAUCUCAUAAACCUUCUCGUAGUCCGGGUUGGAGUCUGCAACUCGACUCCAUGAAGUCGGAAUC
rnacentral:rRNA from 1 species